AACGAACGCUGGCGGCAGGCCUAACACAUGCAAGUCGAACGCCCGUAGCAAUACGGGAGUGGCAGACGGGUGAGUAACGCGUGGGAACGUGCCCUUCGGUUCGGAAUAACUCAGGGAAACUUGAGCUAAUACCGGGAUACGUCCGUAAGGAGAAAGAUUUAUCGCCGAAGGAUCGGCCCGCGUCGGAUUAGCUAGUUGGUGGGGUAAAAGCUCACCAAGGCGACGAUCCGUAGCUGGUCUGAGAGGANGAUCAGCCACACUGGGACUGAGACACGGCCCAGACUCCUACGGGAGGCAGCAGUGGGGAAUAUUGGACAAUGGGCGAAAGCCUGAUCCAGCCAUGCCGCGUGAGUGAAGAAGGCCUUAGGGUUGUAAAGCUCUUUCAGCGGGAAGAUAAUGAACGGUACCCGCAGAAGAAGUCCCGGCUAACUUCGUGCCAGCAGCCGCCGCGGUAAC
rnacentral:rRNA from 1 species